AGAUUGAACGCUGGCGGCAUGCCUUACACAUGCAAGUCGAACGGCAGCACGGGAGCAAUCCUGGUGGCGAGUGGCGAACGGGUGAGUAAUACAUCGGAACGUGCCCAAUCGUGGGGGAUAACGCAGCGAAAGCUGUGCUAAUACCGCAUAAGAUCUACGGAUGAAAGCAGGGGAUCGCAAGACCUUGCGCGAAUGGAGCGGCCGAUGGCAGAUUAGGUAGUUGGUAGAGGUAAACGGCUACACCAAGCC
rnacentral:rRNA from 1 species